rnacentral:rRNA from 1 species
AUACGGAGGUUGCAAGCGUUGUUCGGAAUAACUGGGCGUAAAGGGAGCGCAGGCGGUUUGGUAAGUUCAAAGUGAAAGCCCGGGGCUUAACCUCGGAAGUGCUUUGGAUACUGCCUUACUCGAGUUCGUGAGAGGAAAGCGGAAUUCCAGGUGUAGCGGUGAAAUGCGUAGGUAUCUGGAGGAACACCGGUGGCGAAAGCGGCUUUCUGGCGCGAUACUGACGCUGAGGCUCGAAAGCAUGGGGAGCGAACAGGAUUAGAUACCCUGGUAGUCCAUGCCGUAAACGUUGUGCACUAGGUGUAGGAGGUAUCGACCCCUUCUGUGCCGCAGCUAACGCAUUAAGUGCACCGCCUGGGGAGUACGGUCGCAAGACUGAA